rnacentral:rRNA from 1 species
ACGCUGAAGAGAGGAGCUUGCUCUUCUUGGAUGAGUUGCGAACGGGUGAGUAACGCGUAGGUAACCUGCCUGGUAGCGGGGGAUAACUAUUGGAAACGAUAGCUAAUACCGCAUGAAAUUGCUUAUCGCAUGAUAAUUAAUUGAAAGAUGCAACUGCAUCACUACCAGAUGGACCUGCGUUGUAUUAGCUAGUUGGUGAGGUAACGGCUCACCAAGGCGACGAUACAUAGCCGACCUGAGAGGGUGAUCGGCCACACUGGGACUGAGACACGGCCCAGACUCCUACGGGAGGCAGCAGUAGGGAAUCUUCGGCAAUGGGGGGAACCCUGACCGAGCAACGCCGCGUGAGUGAAGAAGGUUUUCGGAUCGUAAAGCUCUGUUGUAAGAGAAGAACGGGUGUGAGAGUGGAAAGUUCACACUGUGACGGUAUCUUACCAGAAAGGGACGGCUAACUACGUGCCAGCAGCCGCGGUAAUACGUAGGUCCCGAGCGUUGUCCGGAUUUAUUGGGCGUAAAGCGAGCGCAGGCGGUUAGAUAAGUCUGAAGUUAAAGGCUGUGGCUUAACCAUAGUAUGCUUUGGAAACUGUUUAACUUGAGUGCAGAAGGGGAGAGUGGAAUUCCAUGUGUAGCGGUGAAAUGCGUAGAUAUAUGGAGGAACACCGGUGGCGAAAGCGGCUCUCUGGUCUGUAACUGACGCUGAGGCUCGAAAGCGUGGGGAGCAAACAGGAUUAGAUACCCUGGUAGUCCACGCCGUAAACGAUGAGUGCUAGGUGUUAGGCCCUUUCCGGGGCUUAGUGCCGCAGCUAACGCAUUAAGCACUCCGCCUGGGGAGUACGACCGCAAGGUUGAAACUCAAAGGAAUUGACGGGGGCCCGCACAAGCGGUGGAGC